rnacentral:lncRNA from 1 species
UGGGUGGCCACUGUUGUUCCAUGUGACACUGAGAUCUGUGACAUAUCUCUUCCUAUGAUCUCAUUUACAUCAUCUAGUGUGAUGUCUUGUAGUCCUAUCUGAAAAUUCAAUUCUCGAUCUUCAGGUUCUGGUUUAAUGUUAAUAGCUGCCCCAUCUGGUGAAAAUGGAGAUGAAUCGCACAUGGUAUGGUGCACUAAAGAUGUAGCUGCAUUAAGA